GGGGAUGGCUUAUAGGGGGCCCAAGUGGAAGUGGCAUAGGAUCAGUGUAAAUCCGACGAUAUAGGCAUCGCCACAUUAUCAAUCUCGUUUGGUAAUUGGCUGGGUGCUGAUAUUCAUGAAACCACUUGGAUCACAUGAUGUUGCUCAGAUCAUGUGCUUUGAACCGUCAGAUUAUGAUGCCAAGCAUCUACCACAUCUUCAAAAAUUGGAU
rnacentral:lncRNA from 1 species